rnacentral:rRNA from 1 species
UACGUAGGGGGCAAGCGUUGUCCGGAUUUAUUGGGCGUAAAGAGCGUGUAGGCGGCCUGACAGGUCAGCUGUGAAAACUCGAGGCUCAACCUCGAGACGUCGGUUGAAACCGUACGGCUAGAGUCCGGAAGAGGAGAGUGGAAUUCCCGGUGUAGCGGUGAAAUGCGCAGAUAUCGGGAAGAACACCCGUGGCGAAGGCGGCUCUCUGGGACGGUACUGACGCUGAGACGCGAAAGCGUGGGGAGCGAACAGG